rfam:Pisolithus tinctorius Marx 270 unplaced genomic scaffold scaffold_5, whole genome shotgun sequence.
UUACCACUCUGGCCUUUUGGCUUAGAUCAAGUGUAGUAUCUGUUCUUUACAGCAUAACCGCUGUAACGGGGGCACUGCCCCCUUUAGUUGGUUAGCAAAUUUUUGCCGCCCUAUGUCGCCUGUGAGCUCUGCUUGCAACUCCGGGUGACGCGAUGACCUUGCUAUUGCACCUUACCGGCUUGCGUCGUCAGGGGAU